CCUAAGUGCAUGCGUAGUCAACGUGUAUAUUUUCAGCCUUUGUAUAUCAUGUUUUUAGCUCGAAUUCAUCGAUUAUCAUGUUAGACGAAAUCUGAAUUUGGAGCAUACUGAAAUGAGUUAGAUAAAUAAUACAUGUUGGACUUGGAUUUGACUUAGGAGAAAACUAGCGAUUCUACACUGUCAUAUAUUAAAACUAUCAGAUUUAGUUCUAGGAGCCGUAGUUUGUUUGUAUCACCGCAGUUUGUGAGCGGUGGAUAUUCAGGAUAGUGUAGAAUAUGUUUACGCUCGUGCUGUGAUGCCGGGCUUAUUUUUACAGCAGUAUUUAGGCUGUUCCGGACUGUCGGGUGCCGUUGGGAUUGACGGUAGACCUAGAUUGUUGUUUUCGCAUCAGAUUGUGCUGAAGGCACGUGAGUUUGCUUGUUAGAUCCUGUUUACUUGACUAUAACCUGUGAGAGCCUGCUUGAGCUCGACAGAGACACGCUUGCAUACUCGAUUGGGUAGCGCCCACGAGUGCCACUCCGAAGUCGGACUUAGUG
rnacentral:lncRNA from 1 species